rnacentral:rRNA from 1 species
GACGAACGCUGGCGGCGUGCUUAACACAUGCAAGUCGAACGGAAAGGCCCCUUUGGGGGUACUCGAGUGGCGAACGGGUGAGUAACACGUGAGUAACCUGCCCUUGACUUCGGGAUAACUUCAGGAAACUGGGGCUAAUACCGGAUAGGAAUCCUUGCUGCAUGGUGGGGUUGGAAAGCUUCGGCGGUUUUGGAUGGACUCGCGGCUUAUCAGCUUGUUGGUGGGGUAGUGGCUUACCAAGGCUUUGACGGGUAGCCGGCCUGAGAGGGCGACCGGCCACAUUGGGACUGAGAUACGGCCCAGACUCCUACGGGAGGCAGCAGUGGGGAAUAUUGCACAAGGGGCGGAAGCCUGAUGCAGCAACGCCGCGUGCGGGAUGACGGCCUUCGGGUUGGAAACCGCUUUCAGCAGGGGCGAAGCUUGUGGUGACGGUACCUGCAGAAGAAGCACCGGCUAACUACGUG